rnacentral:rRNA from 1 species
UACGAGGGGUGCAAGCGUUGCUCGGAAUUAUUGGGCGUAAAGGGUAGGUAGGUGGUCUCGUUUGUCUGGGGUGAAAUCCUUGAGCUUAACUCAAGAAGUGCCCCAGAAACGGCGAGACUUGAGUACUGGAGAGGGUCGUGGAAUUCCCGGUGUAGCGGUGAAAUGCGUAGAGAUCGGGAGGAACACCAGAGGCGAAGGCGGCGACCUGGACAGUAACUGACACUCAACUACGAAAGCGUGGGGAGCAAACAGG